AUUUUUUUUUUACACGCAGAGAAAUUGGUGACAAACAGAAGUACUGAAUCGAAUAGUAAAAUGAAGUUACAAAGUUUCUAGUUUGAAAUACUUGACCCUUGUUAUCUUUACGACUAAUUACUCAUUCCUACUAAUCGUAUGUUUCAUUAUAUUAUUUGAUUAAUGUAGCUUACAAAAAAAUAUAAUUGAACAAAAACAUCAAUAAUUUAUGUAUCAUGAACAAGAAUUCUGUUAAUAUUUAUAUAAUGUAUUGUAAGUAAUAAGAAACAGAGAUUCGCAAUUACUAAAUGAUCCAAUUACGGUUAAUGAUUUACAAUGUUACUGGUAGACUACGAGUGUGUUUGUAAUCAAAACAAUAAUAUUUUUAUUACAACUACAUUAUUGUUUGCAGUACAUAUCGUUCGUAGCGUCACUUAAAAAUCGUUUAGUUUGGUUUACCCUUUAUGUAGUGUUAGGCCUUAACAAGACUAUUAUAGUAAAAACCGCACCGGAAACAGUAAACGGUACAAUGCAUGUAUUACUCCGUGCUAUUUGUUAGUGUGUUUUAAAAUAUUAUAAAAUAAUAAUGUUACAAUAACAAUCGAGGUGGUAUUCAUAGCAAAGUAUCUUGUACUGUUUAUCGAAAACUGUGUUUUUGUAAACAAACUCGCGCGCUCGCAUCCCGCCCCGCCACCGCCACCCGCACCCGAGCCGGCGUCCGGCUUGGCGGCCAUUGUGUUUUGACCAGCGAGCGAGCGCAGUAUUGCAGAUUGAAUUUGAAGUGUUUUUCGCCUUUUUGGGUUAUUAUUACAAAACCAGUGACGAGAUGGAUGAUGACAUUGACCAAGACGUCCCUCAGUUAUUAAAGCAGUGGGGUUUACCCCAAUAUAUUCAUACUUUUCAAGCCGUUGAAAAAUCUACUCUUAAAAUCGAAUGAAGGACAAGGCCUGCUAAAUUUAUAUUCAGAACAAGGCAAAUUAUCAAAUAAUGGGCGAAGAAAAGUUUGCAAUAUAAUAAUAAAAGACCUAAUGCAAUCAGACCCAAAUAAAAGAAUAGACAGUUCUCUACUUCUUACAAAAGCACAAGAAAUAACUGAAGUAUUCAAAAAGGAAAAUAUAAGUACUUACUUUAUUCCAUACAUUAAUGAUACUAAACUUAAAAUAAAAAGAUGUGCAAAAGGCAAAUUAUAUGACUGUCUACAAAACAGGCGCCGCGAAUUAAGGGAGGCUAAGGUUAUUAAAAAGAAAAAUGGCAGCAACAUCAACAAUAACAGCAACGAGCCAGAAGUCGUCGAAGAAGGCAAGUUUUAAGUUAUCUACCUGGGUUUUUAUUUUUUUUAAUAGCCAAAUGUGAUCCCACUGUUGGAUUAGAGCAUCUCCCAAAUAGGUUAUUAAUUGUAUUCAAACCUCAAAAGGAAAAACCGGCCAAGUGCGAGUCGGACUCGUGCACGAAGGGUUCCGUAAAUUACAGUUAAAUCAACCUAUCUCAAAAACUAUAAGAGAUACUUUGAUCAAACCAAAAAUCGUUGAAAGAGUUAAUUAGCAUGCAUCACCUCUAUUUUUUUUAGAAUUUUAUACCCCGUAGUUAUAAAAAUAGAGGGGGGGGGACAUACUUUUUACGACUUUGAGAGCUGAUAUCUCAAAAACCGUUCACUUUAAGAAAAAUGUUUUUUAGAAAACUUUAUAUCAUUUUAAAAGACCUUUCCAUUGAUACCCCACACGGGUAUGUACAUCGAAAAAAAAAAUUUCAUCCCUCAGUUACAUGUAUGGGGGGCCCCACCCCCAAUUCUUUUUUUUACUAUUUAGUGUCAUAUUUUUGUAGCGGUUCAUACAACACAUAUUCCCAUCAAAUUUCAUCACUGUAGUACUUAUAGUUUCCGAGUAAAUCGGCUGUGACAGACGGACAGACGGACAGACGGACAGACGGACAGACGGACAGACGGACAUGACGAAACUAUAAGGGUUCCGUUUUUGCCAUUUUGGCUACGGAACCCUAAAAAAGGACAACUGUGUUGUUUGUCUGACUGCCUUUCCUUGGCCUCUUUCCAGCAACUUUAAUAACUUGCAGUUUCAUCAUCCUCCUAACGUUUGGCCCACCUUUCUGACACGGUUCAAUUGAACCUGGGGUCCGCUUGACAACCUAAUCCCAUGAUUUGGCAUGACACUAGUUAAUUACAUUAAUAACUUGCAACUUAUUUUACUAAAUUAAAUUAUUUUGAAGUCUUUAUUUCAUGAUUUUUUAUGAGUCCAUGUAUCUUUCCAGAUGGUGUUGCAGAUGAAGAUAUCCAGUGGCUCCAAAACUGUACAGAACCCUGGCAUUUAGUGAUAGAGAAGUGGCAAAAAACUUCCAAAAAUAGAUUGAAGGAAAUAGAGACUUCAGAAAUGACCAUCGGAGCAUACAUUAAUAAAUAUCCAGUGUUAAAAACGCCACGCGGGCAUGAGCUUCUUAUUGAAGAUUUAAGAAGGGCCCUAUUAGAGCCUGUUCACACUAGCAUUAAUAUCGCCGCGAGCACGCGGCGAGCAAGCUGCGAUAUCACACACAUAUAAAGUUUGCUCGCGGCGAUAUUAUUGCGAUAAAAUAAUCGCCGCGAUACCGCGACGACCCGCGGCGAGCUCGUUGCGUGCACGCCGCGAUCUCGCAUCGCCGAAAAGAAUCGCUAGUGUGAACAGGCUCUAAUAGGGCCCCAUACUUUACAAGUUGAAUGUAGAAAUGAUAAGUAUAAGGGACGUCGACGCUGAAAAGACGCCUGAACGGAUAGCAUGAUCGCGCGAAAAGUGAUAAAACAUCUCCCUAUCGCACUAUUAGUAAGUGCGAUAGGGACGGAUGUUUUAUCGCGCGAUCAUGCUACCAAUGCAGAUGUGAGGGGCCGUAAUGUGUAAGUGUAAUUUCUACGGACCAAUGAUUGUGAUGAUUAUAUUAAAAUAAAUGUCAUUUUUCUCUGUA